CGGACGGGUGAGUAAUGUCUGGGAAACUGCCUGAUGGAGGGGGAUAACUACUGGAAACGGUAGCUAAUACCGCAUAACGUCGCAAGACCAAAGAGGGGGACCUUCGGGCCUCUUGCCAUCAGAUGUGCCCAGAUGGGAUUAGCUAGUAGGUGGGGUAACGGCUCACCUAGGUGACGAUCCCUAGCUGGUCUGAGAGGAUGACCAGCCACACUGGAACUGAGACACGGUCCAGACUCCUACGGGAGGCAGCAUG
rnacentral:rRNA from 1 species